GCGGUUCUGGAACCAGAUCUUCACCUGGGUCUCGGUGAGCUGCAGCGAGGCGGCCAGCCCGGCUCGCUCCGAGCUGCUCAGGUAGCGCUUCAGGUCGAAGGUGGACUCCAGCUGGAACACUUGGCUCCUGCUGAACACGCUAUCCUCUCGGGAAGUGAAGGAGGACGACGCAUCUUCCUCUUCCCUGUCAUCCGUGAAACUGUCGUCCCCCUUUUCCUCAGCUUCAUCGUCCUCCACCGCCUGCCCCGUCGAAGUUGGGGAGUCCCGCUCGCUGGUUGGCACCGGGUCCGUGUGCUCAUCCGAGUAUUUGGCCUUGUAUAGCGGAGCUAUGAGGGAUAACGUGGAAAAUGAAACAACAAUCCAUUCUAGUCACCCUCUCGAGCCGUUCGCACCGCCGAGGAUGGUCCCGUCAGUGUUUUGUGCACAAUUACGCGCAUGCAUGCUCCCUGCGCUUUCCACGAGUAUAAAAACACCGCACCGGCUCACCGCUGUCGGUCUAUCUGAAGCACGAGUGAGAUUAUUGUGUGGGAGCCAAGAACUGUUGGCUUCUGCAGUGCUGAUAAUUGGAGAGUUGGGGUGUUUUACGCAUGGAUGCAGAGACAGUAAAACGUGUUGCUGGCGCAUGUAUUUUGUCCACAUGUGCCCCGAAACACCAAAGAUGUUUUUGAUUAAAUGAGAAAUGUUGAGGUGGA